rnacentral:rRNA from 2 species
AGACCCGAAACCCGGUGAUCUAGCCAUGGGCAGGUUGAAGGUUGGGUAACACUAACUGGAGGACCGAACCGACUAAUGUUGAAAAAUUAGCGGAUGACCUGUGGCUGGGGGUGAAAGGCCAAUCAAACCGGGAGAUAGCUGGUUCUCCCCGAAAGCUAUUUAGGUAGCGCCUCGUGAAUUCAUCUCCGGGGGUAGAGCACUGUUUCGGCUAGGGGGCCAUCCCGGCUUACCAACCCGAUGCAAACUGCGAAUACCGGAGAAUGUUAUCACGGGAGACACACGGCGGGUGCUAACGUCCGUCGUGAAGAGGGAAACAACCCAGACCGCCAGCUAAGGUCCCAAAGUCAUGGUUAAGUGGGAAACGAUGUGGGAAGGCCCAGACAGCCAGGAUGUUGGCUUAGAAGCAGCCAUCAUUUAAAGAAAGCGUAAUAGCUCACUGGUCGAGUCGGCCUGCGCGGAAGAUGUAACGGGGCUAAACCAUGCACCGAAGCUGCGGCAGCGACACUCAGGUGUUGUUGGGUAGGGGAGCGUUCUGUAAGCCUGUGAAGGUGGCCUGUGAGGGUUGCUGGAGGUAUCAGAAGUGCGAAUGCUGACAUAAGUAACGAUAAAGCGGGUGAAAAGCCCGCUCGCCGGAAGACCAAGGGUUCCUGUCCAACGUUAAUCGGGGCAGGGUGAGUCGACCCCUAAGGCGAGGCCGAAAGGCGUAGUCGAUGGGAAACGGGUUAAUAUUCCCGUACUUGGUGUUACUGCGAAGGGGGGACGGAGAAGGCUAUGUUGGCCGGGCGACGGUUGUCCCGGUUUAAGCGUGUAGGUGUGUGUUCCAGGUAAAUCCGGUUCACUUUAACACUGAGGCGUGACGACGAGGCACUACGGUGCUGAAGCAACAAAUGCCCUGCUUCCAGGAAAAGCCUCUAAGCAUCAGGUAACAUCAAAUCGUACCCCAAACCGACACAGGUGGUCAGGUAGAGAAUACCAAGGCGCUUGAGAGAACUCGGGUGAAGGAACUAGGCAAAAUGGUGCCGUAACUUCGGGAGAAGGCACGCUGACAUGUAGGUGAAGUGAUUUACUCAUGGAGCUGAAGUCAGUCGAAGAUACCAGCUGGCUGCAACUGUUUAUUAAAAACACAGCACUGUGCAAACACGAAAGUGGACGUAUACGGUGUGACGCCUGCCCGGUGCCGGAAGGUUAAUUGAUGGGGUCAGCGCAAGCGAAGCUCCUGAUCGAAGCCCCGGUAAACGGCGGCCGUAACUAUAACGGUCCUAAGGUAGCGAAAUUCCUUGUCGGGUAAGUUCCGACCUGCACGAAUGGCGUAAUGAUGGCCAGGCUGUCUCCACCCGAGACUCAGUGAAAUUGAACUCGCUGUGAAGAUGCAGUGUACCCGCGGCAAGACGGAAAGACCCCGUGAACCUUUACUAUAGCUUGACACUGAACAUUGAGCCUUGAUGUGUAGGAUAGGUGGGAGGCUUUGAAGUGUGGACGCCAGUCUGCAUGGAGCCGGCCUUGAAAUACCACCCUUUAAUGUUUGAUGUUCUAACGUGGACCCGUGAUCCGGGUUGCGGACAGUGUCUGGUGGGUAGUUUGACUGGGGCGGUCUCCUCCUAAAGAGUAACGGAGGAGCACGAAGGUUGGCUAAUCCUGGUCGGACAUCAGGAGGUUAGUGCAAUGGCAUAAGCCAGCUUGACUGCGAGCGUGACGGCGCGAGCAGGUGCGAAAGCAGGUCAUAGUGAUCCGGUGGUUCUGAAUGGAAGGGCCAUCGCUCAACGGAUAAAAGGUACUCCGGGGAUAACAGGCUGAUACCGCCCAAGAGUUCAUAUCGACGGCGGUGUUUGGCACCUCGAUGUCGGCUCAUCACAUCCUGGGGCUGAAGUAGGUCCCAAGGGUAUGGCUGUUCGCCAUUUAAAGUGGUACGCGAGCUGGGUUUAGAACGUCGUGAGACAGUUCGGUCCCUAUCUGCCGUGGGCGCUGGAGAACUGAGGGGGGCUGCUCCUAGUACGAGAGGACCGGAGUGGACGCAUCACUGGUGUUCGGGUUGUCAUGCCAAUGGCACUGCCCGGUAGCUAAAUGCGGAAGAGAUAAGUGCUGAAAGCAUCUAAGCACGAAACUUGCCCCGA